CCUACACAUGCAAGUCGAACGGUAACAGGAAGCAGCUUGCUGCUUCGCUGACGAGUGGCGGACGGGUGAGUAAUGUCUGGGAAAGUGCCUGAUGGAGGGGGAUAACUACUGGAAACGGUAGCUAAUACCGCAUAACGUCGCAAGACCAAAGAGGGGGACCUUCGGGCCUCUUGCCAUCGGAUGUGCCCAGAUGGGAUUAGCUAGUAGGUGGGGUAACGGCUCACCUAGGCGACGAUCCCUAGCUGGUCUGAGAGGAUGACCAGCCACACUGGAACUGAGACACGGUCCACACUCCUACGGGAGGCAGCAGUGGGGAAUAUUGCACAGUGGGCGCACGCCUGAUGCACCCAUGCCGCGUGUGUGAAGAAGGCCUUCGGGUUGUAAAGUACUUUCAGCGGGGAGGAAGGCGAUGAGGUUAAUAACCUUGUGGAUUGACGUUACCCGCAAAAGAAGCACCGGCUAACUCCGUGCCAGCAGCCGCGGUAAUACGGAGGGUGCAAGCGUUAAUCGGAAUUACUGGGCGUAGAGCGCACGCAGGCGGUCUGUCAAGUCAGAUGUGAAAUCCCCGGGCUCAACCUGGGAACUGCAUUCGAAACUGGCAGGCUAGAGUCUUGUAGAGGGGGGUAGAAUUCCGGGUGUAGCUGUGAAAUGCGUACAUAUCUGGAGGAAUACCGGUGGCGAACGCGGCCCCCUGGAUACACACUGACUCUCACGUGCGAAAGCGUGGGUAGCAAACGGGAUUACAUACCCUGCGGAGUACUACGCCGUAAACGAUGUCGACUUGGAGGUUGUGCCCGUAGAGGCGUGCCUCUCCAGCAGCUAACCGCGUUCAAGUCGACUGUCGUGGGGGAGUACCGCCGCAGAGGUCAAGACUCAUAUGAUUUCGACGGGGGCCGCGCCACAGCGGUGGGAUGAUGGUGGCUUUAAUUCGAUGAUACGCGAAGACUCUACCGUACUCCUGACGUCGCUAGACUUUACAUAGAUGGAUGUGUCGUCUUUCGGAACUGUGAAACAGUAGGCGUGCAUGACUGUCAUCACCUCGUGCUGGGCAAUGGUGAAGUAAGUUCCGCAAGCCAGUCGCACCUAUAUCUAUGUGCCACGCUGUCUGCGGCAUCGAAGAAAUUGCAGUUACUGGAAGGUGGAUCGGUCAGUCAAUGGCUUGACAGAUCGGU
rnacentral:rRNA from 1 species